AGAAUCAACGCUGGCGGCGUGCCUAACACAUGCAAGUCGAACGAGAAAGUGGAGCAAUCCAUGAGUAAAGUGGCGCACGGGUGAGUAACACGUGACUAACCUACCUUUUAGUGGGGGAUAACCUAGGGAAACCUGGGCUAAUACCGCAUAAUACCUACGGGUCAAAAGCAGCAAUGCGCUGAAAGAGGGGGUCGCGGUCGAUUAGUUAGUUGGCAGGGUAAUGGCCUACCAAGACUGUGAUCGAUAUCCGGCCUGAGAGGGCGCACGGACACACUGGAACUGAAACACGGUCCAGACUCCUACGGGAGGCAGCAGUGGGGAAUUUUGCGCAAUGGGGGAAACCCUGACGCAGCAAACGCCGCGUGGAGGAUGAAGUCCCUUGGGACGUAAAACUCCUUUCGAUCGGGACGAUAAUGACGGUACCGGAAGAAGAAGCCCCGGCUAACUUCGUGCCAGCAGCCGC
rnacentral:rRNA from 1 species